rnacentral:lncRNA from 1 species
AUGAGUCCCCACCUUCCCCGAGCCUCCCCGAGCGAGGGGUCAGGGUGGACCUCAGGGAGACAGGCUGCUGGGACGCUGGGGAACCCAGGGAGGGGGGCGGCCCCACGCCCACUUCCUGCGGCACCGGCCACACCCCGCCCUGGGGUGCCCGGGGCAGGCCACUUCCUCCUCCGCAGGGGCUGCGCCCCAGAACCUGCUGGACGGGGGCGAGGACGGACGGACCAGAUGGGCAGAUCCUGGGCGACCCCCGGCCGACUCUGCCUCCUGGCAGCUCUGGGCCCGCGGCCUGGCCAGGCGCAGCCCUUGGCCCAGAGGAAGCCGUGGCUGGUGGGGCUGGGGGCCGCGCUGGCCUUCCUCUUCCUCCUCUUCGUCCUCGCCCUGGGCCACGCCAUCUGCUGCAGCGGGUCCAGCGACAGCAUGCUGGGGUCUCCCAUCCUCGCUGGCUUCCCUCCUGACGACUCAUCUGCAAAACGAGGGCGGCUUCCUCGCAGAGACCCCCGUCCUGAGACGUGUCUCCCACGGGAGCUGUGGAGUCUGUCCCCCCCCCCAAUUAACCCUCCAGCUAAUCCCGUCCACUGGGCCCUCCAUCCAUUUACCCAUCCGCUCGUCUGCCCCUCCCUCCCCCCAGCCGUCCGCCAUCCCUGCCUCUGUGUCCCUCCUUCCCUCCCUCCCUCCAUCGUCCAUCCCUCUGUCCACCCUGUGUCCAUCCUUCUGUCUGUCCAUCAUCCAUCCCUCUGUCCAUCCAUAGUCCAUCCCUCUGUCUGUCCAUCAUCCAUCCCUCUGUCUGUCCAUCAUCCAUCCCUCUGUCCAUCCAUAGUCCAUCCCUCUGUCCAUCAUCUAUCCCUCUGUCUGUCCAUCCCUCUCUCUCUUCACCCACCCAUCAUCCAUCCACCCACCUUCCCACCGUUCAUCCACACGUCCAUCUGUCCAUCCGUCCACCCAUCCACUCCUUAACCCGCCCACCCCCCAUCACCCACCCCCCGUCUGUGGCCGCCCGAUCACCCACAGUUUUGCGACCCAGGGAGCCAGCGAGGCCAGACACUGAGAGCGCGGUUCUGGCUGAUGCGGCUGCAGCGUGGGCGCCGGCCCCGCUGCCUGUUCACACUGGGCGAGCGCCCUCGGCUGUCUGGGCCUCGGCGUUCCCGUCUACACAGUGGGAGCAGCGGCGGGCAGGACUCAGAGGCCCUGGGAGAACGGUGGGCGGCCUGGGGCCCCGGGAGGCCUCCCUGAGCUGGCGUCUCUGGGCCCUGCCUGUCUCCACAGCGACAGAGAGAAAGAAGAGGAGACUGUGAGAAAGAAGGAGGAGGAGGAGGGAGAGGACGCCUGGGGGCUGGAGCUGGAGGAGCUGGAGGAGCCUGGGAGCCAGGAGAGGGCGGCGAGCUCCUCCACCUGAAGGCUUCCCACCCGCCUCCUCCAGGCAGCCCCCCAGGGAUGCCGCAGUGUCUCCUCCGCACCCUGGUCCUGGGGCCGGGAGAAUGACUCCAUCUGGGGUUCGGGGUAAAGUGUCCCUGGAUGAAGGCGGCUCAGGACCUGGCCCCCCCCCGCCCCCCCGCAGUCCCUCCUGGAAGUCUCUUUGCGGGUUACCUGGCUGUUACACCCUCCUUGGGCCUCCACCUGGUCUUUCUUCUCGAGCCCGGACAAGGAGCUCCCCACAGCCCGCGGCCCCCAGGGUCUCAUCUCUGUCCCCCCUCUGCAUCGCAGACAUCUUUCUUUACCCGCUGCCUGAUUUCUUCUCCCACCCUGAACGUGAACGUGGAGCUGGCUGCCUGGGCGAGGAGGGCCCCUCCCACCAUGCGCUGAGUUUCAGGGGACCGUCCUGGAAGCUGCGAGUCCCAGGGGCUGGGCUGUGGGUGCACAGCCUUGUCACCCCCUCUUCCAGUCCUGCACUCCCGGUGGGCGCUCCACGGUAAAGGAAUUGGAGUCCCAGCUUCCUUGCUGUGUGACCCCUGGCAAGUAACUUAACCUCUCUGUGCCUGUGUCCUGUCCUGUAAAAGGGGAGGAUGAUAACUAGGUCUUGCAUAAAUUGUCACGAGGAUUAAACGGAAUAAUGUCUAGAAAACUCCUGAGGGCAGAACCCAGAACUCAAAAGGUAUCAAAUAAAUGUCAGCUUUGGGGGUGCUGAAAUGGUGGC